rnacentral:lncRNA from 1 species
CUGAACAGAAUAGAAACAGCAGAGAGUAUAUUCUCAGUGUACUGGGGCUCUCUCCUCACUCUACAGUCUGAACAUCACAGGCUAACUAGUUUACUGUACACCCUCAGAAUGGGACCAAUCCACCAACUUCAGAUUCUGGUAUCUGUGUGUAUCUAGACUACGUAAUGUUGGGGAAUGAGCUGCUGUACUUUACCUUGUACAGCAGAGUGAGAGAGAGAGAGGGGGGAUAAGAAAAGCAGCUGACGUCAAACCUAUACAGAGGACAACCUUUCCACCUGAUGCCAACGCCGCAUUCAGGACCACUUUAGAAAGUGCCCUCUUCUUUCCCUCCCUCCAUCUCCCUGUUCUCCUGCAGAGCGAGCCCCAGC